rnacentral:rRNA from 1 species
AUGGCUGCCUUGACGGUUGUUGGUAUGGAUCAGGUGCCGGGGCCGGCCGCGAGUGCAGACGCACAGAUCUGCUCGAGCGUGGUGUGGUUGGCAGAAGGAAGAACUCGUCGCCGCCCUCGCAGGUCUCCACGGGAAGGCCAGCCCACAAGCUCCUCGGUGGUUAAAGAGGCUGAGGAACUUUCUGCAGAACGGCUGCUUCUUCAGUGCCCAAGCUUGAAAGAUGUUCAUGUCUAUCGAUGUUGUGAUAUGUUGAUCGGAGCAAUCAGAAACGAGGUGAGUCUGUUCUUCCCCAACGCGGCCGUCAUUUUGGAACUUCAGAAGCAAGGGAGGGAGUGGACGAACACACGACCGAAAGCGAUGGAUUUCCUCCUCCAAUCAGGAGAUCUACUCUGA